CGGGUGCUCUUACCCACUGAGCCAUCUCACCAGCCCAAGAUUUCAUUUUUUAUUUAUGUGCAUGUGUCUGAAUGAAUGCCACAUGUGUUGCAGGUACUCUUGAAGGCCAGAAGAGCUGGAGUUCCAGGUGGUUAUAAGCUGCCUGACUUGGGUGCUGGGAACUGAACUCAGGUCCUAGGGACGAGCACUAAGUGCUCUUAACAGUAAGCCAUCUUAUGGCUCAUGUUUAUUACAUCAUCUUGUUUCUUUUCUUUUCUUUUCUUUUUUUUUUUUUUUUGGUUUUUCGAGAGAGGGUUUCUCUGUAGCCCUGGCUGUCCUGGAACUCACUUUGUAGACCAGGCUGGCCUUGAACUCACAAAUCCACCUGCCUCUGCCUCCCAAGUGCUGGGAUUAAAGGUGUGUGCCACCACCGCCUGGCCAUCAUCUCCUUUCUUAACCAAAGGCUUACAUAUUACAUAUAUGAAAAACAAAAACAAAAUGAAACAAACAAACAAACCAAAAACCUUGGCUGGGCAGUGGUGGCACACGCCUUUAAUUCCAGGCAGGGCUACAUAGAGAAACCCUGUCUUGAAAACAAACACUAAAACCACAAAAACUGUAUACUUCCUUUUUGUUCUGGGAAAGCAUCUAUGCUAAUUCAAGCUGGCUUUGAAUCCUUGAGAUGAAGAGAUUCUCUUGCCUCAGACUCCCAAGUAAAUGAGCUCAGGUGUGUCUUUGUGUGUGUGUGUGUGUGUGUGUGUGUAUGUGUGCCAUAAACAUGCCUGAAAAGCACUGUAACAUGGAGCCAGGCUCCUAGUCCUGGUUUCUUGACACAAUGUCCUCCUAUGGAGCUGGUUUUGACGCUGAGCUCCUGCCUCUGCCCAGUGACUUGAUGGUACAGGUGUUUGUGACCAUGCCCAGUAGAAAUAGGGAGGCAGAGGCAGGCGGAUUUCUGAGUUCGAGGCCAGCCUGGUCUACAAAGUGAGUUCCAGGACAGCCAGAGCUACACAGAGAAACCCUGUCUCAAAAAAAAAUCACUUUAAAAUGUAUUGUGUGUAUGCGUGAUGAGCAGGGACAUAUGCCAUGGCACAUGGAGUCGGUUCUCUCCUUCCAUCUUUAUGUGAGUUUCGGGGUUCAGAACUCAGGUUGCCGGGCAUUGAAUGGUAAGUGCUAUUACUCCCUGAACCAUCUUAGCACCUCAAAACCAGUCUUUCUUGCUGCCAUCUAAUAGGCCGGGUUGGUUUGAAGAUUGAGGGAUUUAAUUUCACAAAGACUUGUUUUUGCAGAGCAAUUAUCACAUUGUUGAAGCCUUGGCUGGUGCCUACACCCUCCCACACAGGACCUCACGCUCCCAUAGAAGCCACCCACAGAGGCAGCACCUUAAAGUGUGAUGUGGUGAGCAACGCAAGUGGCCAUCUGUGGAUAGACAUAUAUGACUUGAAGCCGGCUCAGGGGCUGAGUAGCUAGCUAGCUAGAGCAUUUGCCUGGAUCCCAGAUUUCCCAAGGCUUCCUUUCGACUACGACAAAGUGUGACAAAAACAAGAUCUGUCUGUAAUCUUGUCUGGGAACAGAGAAAUAAACAUUGUUCCAAAAAGAAUAAAUGGCCAAAUAUCUCCUAA